GCCCAUCAGGCUCCUCUGUGCAUGGGAUUUCCCAGGCAAGAAUACUGGAAAUAGGUUGUCAUUCCCUUCUAGAGGGGAUCUUCCUGACCCAGGAACUGCACAUCUCUUGCAUUGACAAGCAGAUUAUUUACCACUGAACCACCCAAGAAGACCCAACACCACCUAUAGCUCCCUAUAAAUAGAGCUUAUAAAAUAUAUCACCUAAAAACUAAUAAACUGCACUUAAAUAUAACCAGUUACGUCCACUUAACAAUUCUGCCAGCUUAAACAAAAAGUACAAAGAUAUAAACCCGAAUAAGACUUAGCCUAUGACUUCAAGGAAUUCACAUGAAGGCAGAAGCAUGUGCAAAUCAAAAUCAUUUGAGAUCACAGAGAAGAGCAAACUCACAAACUCAAAUGGUAACUAGAAUUUGCCAGAUGAAAACUGGGAGGGUGCAAACAAAGGCAUGAAUGUAGAGAACACAAUUAGAUAACCAGAAGUCCUGAGUGGCCAAGCCAGAGGAUUAAGAAGGAAGGAUAAAUGGGCAUGAAAUGAUAGUAACUAAGCCAGGAAAAUGGAGCUUGUAGCUUGCAGCUGGCUUGCAAAGGGCUGCAUAUGCUAUAACAAAGUGUUUGGUCUCUAUUCAGAAGACCACAGAGAACCUCAUUUAUAAUAGUUAUUAGAAAGUUAACUGAUGACAAUGUGGAAAACAGAUUUAAACGGAGACUGGGAGAAGAUUAGAAGAUAUGGGAACACUAAAGCAAUAAUUAGGAUAUUACUGCACCAAUGCAAGUGAAAUGUAAUGAAGUCAGGAAUAAUACAAACAACUAAACAGUAGCAGCGGGAGCAACAACCUAUACCAACUUAGCAGCAACUGUGUGUCCAUCUAGUUGACCGUAAGUCAAGGAAAAGGCAAUAGGGGAAAUAGAGAAAAAGAAUGCAAACAAGAAGUCUUUAGAAUAUAAUCAAAAGGACAUUGACUACUGACUAUUCAUACCCCACAGAGGAACUUUACUUACAAACUAAGUCUGCCUUCCUAAACUGGUAAAAUAUAAAAUGCCUUAGUUCACUUAAUAGUUGUUACAAACUUAAUUUUAACUAUAUAAAAAAUUUCAGGUAUCUUGCACAGGAAUUAUUUCAGUCUGAAAAUAUCACUAUGGCCACAAGAAAAGCAAAGAAACAAAUACAGAACUAAAACAGAGUUUUCACCUGAAACUAACACAACAUUGUUACUCACCUAUACGCCAAAGUAAAAAUAAAAGUUAAAAAAAAAAAGUAGUUUCCAGUCAGAAAACAAUGAUCUUGGUAUAUCCAAGUUUGGAUGAGUCUAAUUAAUAUGCCUUAGUUAGAAACCCUGAAAAUAUAUGUAAAUAGUAGAAAUAGUCAUAAACACUACUUAAAUUAAAUAUGGGAUGGGAGAAAAAGAGCUAUCAAAAAUCUUUGGGCUAUGAACAAUUCAGCAAGCUGAACACAUAAUUACGACAACAUAUAGUUGGUAUUUUUCAUGAAAUCAACAUGAGGUUUCGUUCAGCACAGGAAAAAAUCUGAUGAGGUUUACAGAUCCAAUUUCGAUUUAAUAAAUACAUUAAUAUAGGGAAAUAAGAAUGGCAGCUACUCUUGUUUCAACAUGCAGAUCAACCUUUACAAAAAUAUGUUUGCUGAACUGUCACUUUAUAUUAUAGAACUGCUAAAACAGUGGUGUUUCUUUCAAUAAACUGAGUCAUGAUUACCUCUAUAAAGAAAGUUAUUGACUUNAACGAAAGUUAUUGACUUUCACAAUGCUGGCAAGAUGUCUUAUCUUUUAAAUUCAAAGUUAGCUGAUUGUGGAUACAGGUUAAGUUUAACAAUAAAAUCCGAUAAACACAUGUCCCACUAAAUUUAAUGUUCAAACUUAUAUUUGUCAUGUUCUAAUAAUCACCUGAAGUUGACUGGCUCACCCCCAGAUAUUAAUCAUUAACCAGGUGUCAGUUUAAAAUUCCAUGUGAAAUCGUUAAGGUCAAUAAAUGCAAAAAGGUCAAUUUACUAGAAGGAUUAAAUAAGAGUUUCCAUUUCACUGUUUAUAUAAUUUGAUAAAUUUGUAAGAACUUUUUUUUCAUAAAAGUAUGUGAACGUUAUAGGUUUCUCCACUGAAGGAAAAAAAGUUUGUAUUGUGUUAGUUCCAGUUACAAUUUCUAGCUGAGUUAAAGCUCUAACAGCCUUAAAGCAGGAAAUCCAAAAGGAAAUUCCAUCAUCAGUUCCUGGGGCUUGGUAACUCAAAGGUUCUUUGAAACAGAGAUAUAGAAGUUCUCCAACUAUUUACUAUAACCUUACCUCAUAUCUUCAAGCAAAUCACAUUCUGCUUGAUGUUUGGCUUGAAGUUUUGUCAUCUGUUCAACUUGAAUGUUUUUCAGUUCCUGUGUAACUUUCACCUGAAAUAUACCAUAUAUUUAUAAGGGCUUAACACAACUUUAAAAAAAUUAAGGAAAAUAUGUAAUACUUGUCAGAAUAUAUAACUGUUACUUGCCUCUCCUCUGAGGACCACAAUCCUGUUAUUAGCCACCUAAUUUUGUUUACUGCAGAUACUUAAUUUUAACAACUAGCCAAAAUAACCUGAAG
rnacentral:lncRNA from 1 species